GUCUACGGCCAUACCACCCUGAACGCGCCUGAUCUCGUCUGAUCUCGGAAGCUAAGCAGGGUCGGGCCUGGUUAGUACUUGGAUGGGAGAUAAAGCUUGGGGGUUGCCAGGGGCU
rnacentral:rRNA from 1 species